rnacentral:rRNA from 1 species
AUUGAACGCUGGCGGCAUGCCUUACACAUGCAAGUCGAACGGCAGCACGGGAGCAAUCCUGGUGGCGAGUGGCGAACGGGUGAGUAAUAUAUCGGAACGUGCCCGGUCGUGGGGAUAACGUAGCGAAAGCUACGCUAAUACCGCAUACGAUCUACGGAUGAAAGCGGGGGAUCGCAAGACCUCGCGCGAUUGGAGCGGCCGAUAUCAGAUUAGGUAGUUGGUGAGGUAAAGGCUCACCAAGCCGACGAUCUGUAGCUGGUCUGAGAGGACGACCAGCCACACUGGGACUGAGACACGGCCCAGACUCCUACGGGAGGCAGCAGUGGGGAAUUUUGGGACAAUGGGCGCAAGCCUGAUCCAGCAAUGCCGCGUGCAGGAUGAAGGCCUUCGGUUGUAAC